rnacentral:SRP_RNA from 1 species
GCUGGGUGUGGUGGCCCGCGCCUGCAGUCCCAGCUACUGGGAGGCUGAGGCGGGAGCACUGCUUGAGCCCAGGAUGUCGAGGCUGCAGUAAGCUGAGAUGGUGCUACUGCACUUCAGCCUGGGUGACAAAGUGAGACCCUGUCUCAA